AUGGCCUCCGCCUCUGUUUCCCUCUCCUCCCUCGCUUCCUCCGCCGCCGCCGCCGCCGCGAUCUCCUCCUCCCCCGGCUGUCCUCCUUCCAAACCCUUUCACGAUCCAAAACCUCUUCACCUUUCCGUCAGACUAUUCCCCCGUUUCGCCAAACCUCAGCCGCUCUCCUGCUCUGGGCCGCACGCCCCUCACGCCGCCACCGGCGACGGAUCGGGUGCCGGGAACCGUGGGGACGACUCGGGAGGAAACGGAGGAAAAGAUGGAGGUGGAAACGAUGGCGACGGCGGCGACGACGACUACGAGGAGGCCGAGUUCGGGCCGCUGCUCGGCUUCAGCGAGGUGGCGCGCCUCGCGGCCGCCCGCGGCGUCAAGCUCCCGGCCGACAUGAUUGAAGCGGCCAGGGACGCCGGCAUCCGGGAAGUGAUUUUGCUCCGAUACUUCGAUUUGCAGGCCGCACCGUGGCCACUCGCCGCGAUGAUCCGGGCCUUCUCAGUGCUCCGCAACAGAAUGCUCGCCGAUCCGUCGUUUCUCUUCAAAGUUGGCAUCGAGGUUGUGAUCGACUCCUGCUGUGCAACACUUGCGGAGGUGCAGAAGAGGGGGGAGGAUUUUUGGGCAGAGUUUGAGUUAUAUGCUGCUGACAUUUUGAUCGGGAUUGUUGUUGAUAUCGCCCUAGUUGGGAUGUUGGCUCCAUAUGUUAGAUUGGGAAAGGCGUCUUCGUCAACGGGGCUGUUGGGGAGGUUCAACCGAAUGGCUGGAGCUUUGCCAAGCAGUGUUUUUGAAGCUGAAAGGCCAGGCUGCAGAUUUACAGUCCAACAAAGAAUUGGGACGUACUUCUAUAAGGGUGUUUUGUAUGGCUCAGUUGGAUUUGUCUGUGGUAUUAUCGGUCAGGGAAUUUGCAAUAUGAUAAUGAAUGCCAAGAGGAGUGUCAAAAAAACAGAUGAAGAUAUUCCUGUUCCACCACUUAUUAAAAGUGCUGCUCUUUGGGGUGUAUUCCUUGCUGUAUCAUCUAAUACACGCUAUCAGAUCAUCAAUGGUCUGGAGCGAGUAGUUGAGGCAUCACCAGUUGCAAAGGGUGCCCCUCUUGUUGCAUUGGCUUUCACCGUUGGUGUUCGCUUUGCCAAUAACAUCUAUGGUGGUAUGCAGUUUAUCGACUGGGCUCGAUGGAGUGGUGUCCAGUAA
rnacentral:rRNA from 1 species